AUGAACACAGACAUCACAGCCUCCACAAAACCCGAAUACCCAGUCAUCGAUCGCAACCCUCCAUUCACCACCGUCGUCGGGAACUUCAACACCCUCGAUUAUCUCCGUUUCGUCACCAUCACCGGUGUUUCCGUCACCGUCGGGUAUCUCUCUGGGAUUAAGCCUGGAAUCAGAGGACCUUCAAUGGUGACCGGUGGAUUGAUUGGUGUCAUGGGUGGAUUCAUGUAUGCUUACCAGAAUUCUGCUGGGAGAAUUAUGGGUUUCUUUCCCAAUGACGGUGAGGUUGCUCGUUAUAACAAGAAAUGA